UUGCAAUGUUAUUAAUUAAAAUGUAGGUUAGGUUAUUGUUUUCAUCACAAGCUGACUUUUGACGUUGUUAUACCAAGAGCCAUGUUUCGCUGCGGCAGUAUAAAAUUCGAAAAGGACAGUAUAAGCCCCAUGUUCACAAAUCGUAACCCAAGACAUUUCAAAUACCUACGAAUCGCUAAUAAACCGGACGGCUACUACGGUGAUAAAACUGGAACGCUCCUACUGGCAUAAAUAUACAAAUUUGCUUUCCUACCGCCUCCAAUAAGACAGCCAGAUUGUAGAUGACAACUGACACAAACAGGCCGUCACGUAACUUUAUUGUUUGUGCAUUACAUCAAUGGACCCGACACUCACCGCUAGCACGAAGGAAUGGCCCCUCAAAACCCGGCUGUAUAAGACCAUGCACCAAGUCGUUGGCGUUUCAGUUCUUAGUACAAAGAUGCCUUGCAAGCGGUCCGACAGAGUUUAUGUGCGAUUGCAAACCCGAACACAACGUCAGUAAGGUCGCAAAGUUUCUAAUGUGCUCCAAGAUUUCAAUUUGAAAUUGCCAAUUCAC